AAAAGCGUCGUUGUGACUUCAAACAACCCUCACCUAAAGUCAUUAUGAGAUCAAGCAAAGCACAUAAUGCUUACGGGAAGCGGAAGGCGUGCGAUAGGGGACAACAAGGGCAGGUGCCUUGUAUUUCGUUGAUCGACCUCGACGCGUGGAAGAACGGCGAGGGGGAUGGAAAUGGGGGAUGUGGUUCGAUUUUCCACUUAGAAUCGCAACGCCGUACCGUAUCUCGUAGCUCGUAAAUGGGUCAGCAAAAGAGGUCGCAGGUGCCUCGCCCACCUAGCGAACGUGGUGGGAAAGCGAUAGAGUGUCGUAUACUCUUCGCUUUACACGAUACAGACUUGUAUAUACACAUACACACAUGCAUACACACGCGCGCACGCACAUACAUACGUAUCACACCGAGGGUGUAUGCGCGAAACGAGCGGGUAUGCGCGCGCGCACGGGCACGCGACUGUUUUGGGGGAGAACUUUAGCAGGAGUGGAAAGUAAUUUGCGACGGGGCGUGAUUCUCACGGGGUUUCUAUCGAGCAACAGAAGCACGAGAUGCUUCCCUUUUGCGAUCGUUUGCCUUAAUUACUUCUAACGUCACUUGAUUACCAAUUAAUACACCUUGGCAAUAUUUUUCGACAAGAACAAUAAACAUUAUUUAGUGACUUCCUCAUAGCUUUGAAUGUAUAUAUUUUAAUUUAAAAAGUUGUUAUUCCUGUUGCGUAGGGAGUAGUGCUUUCUUUUAAAAACGAUGUCGGCAAGUUAUAAAAACCAAUGACAUUUUCCAGAAAGAAAUCUAACUUUACAAAUACACGUGAUAAAUAUAAAUUAUUAAUACGAAAUAUGAUUAGAAAUGUUUACUUGUAAAAAUCUUUUUGUUCUAAGAAGGACAUCGCAGAAUAUGUCGAGAAUAUAUCGGGAUAUAUUCGAGGAAACAAUAGUGUUGAUUAACAUCGGAACAUACAUUAAAUACGUGAAAUUAUGUAAAAGAAUAAUGACACUUAUUCCUUCCCCCACCUUUAUUCCUAAUGUAUAGAGGAAAGGUAAAAAAGAAAGUGUAGUUGAUGACCGUAAUUUAGGGCGCGUAUAUUCUGGUGAAGAGUUCCGACUAUGUCUCGGCACAAAAUCGAAAGAAAAAAGCUACAAAUAAAUUUCAGUUUUCUAGAAUUUAGAGCAAAUGUGCAGCGGUCGCAUUGCGGUAGGAUAGGUAAGAACUGUGAUUCUACACUGGGUGUCCCGGACAUAUCUCGCUACCUUUCACCUAGAGACGGUUCGAUCAAUAUGGGGUCAUUUUUCCUUUCUCUUUUUUUUUUUCACGAAAAGUAACUCUCUGUUGUGAGCUGUGAGCAAUUAAACACAAUCGGCUUUUCGGAGAACUCGUUUGCACAGAAAUGAUAUAUCAAGACAAUUACCGUCCGAAAUAUAAUGGAGCUCGCUUUAAGAAACUGGGUCGCGCACAGCAAAAUGAAAUUUUCAAGGAAAAAAAAAAUUCGCUUCGCGCGAAUUUGAUGCAGAAAUUCAUAAAUGAAGAGUUACAUGUGGUAGCUACAUACGGGAUACCCUGUGUACCUUGUAACUUCCCUAACGCGCAGUUUGCAAACUCAAACCUCUGGGACGCCAGCCAAAAGCGGUUUAUCUCUGCGUGCUCCUUCCGCUCGUCCUAGAAAUAAAUUAAGAGCCUGCGCAUGGAACCUAUAGGAGGUCAGUUGCCCGCAUCCAUCGUCUAACACAUUUGACAAGUACCUCCUCGCGAGAUAUUGGCCAAGGUGGGGAGAAGCUUUACGUCGGAAAUAAUAGCUCAGUCAUAUUUUCGGACAUUUACGAAUCGCUGGUUGAAGCAUCUCAAUAUAAAA